ACAAAAAUCCCAAAAAAUUCUGUAAUCUUUGAUUUGAACGUAAACAUUAACAUGCGUUUUUUUGACAAUUAAUGGUUAGCCAGCCGCAUGUUACAGAUCUUACUUUUUAGUGUCGUUUUUAUCUAAAGUAGCUCUUCGUUUCUGUAUUUUUUAAGCAUGGCUGGCGUUUCUUUUUUUGGUGAAGUGAUUCAGCAGUCUUCAAGGGCCUUUUGGAAUGAUGAGGAUAGUGAUGAUGAAAAUGAUGCAUCUGCUGAAGCAAAGUUACACCUAACUCAGAAUGCAGAACAAGAUUCCUCUUAUCACACUCUAAUUAUUGCUGAUGGACAAAUUGCAAAUGAAUUUGUUCAAUUUUUCCUGGUUGAUUCUAAGCAAUGUGAAGUAGCUAAAAUCCAUAGCAGUGAUGACAGUCCAAAGAGAACUUAUGCAGCACUUCUAAAACUGAAAGAGUCUGUUCUACUUUGUGUUUGUUCAAAUGUUCCCGUUGAGUACGCCAAUCAAAUCACAGAGAUGCUAUCACCAUGGAUUAAAGGAGCCUCUCAGAUAAUUAUCUUGGGUUCCGCUGUCAACACAUAUUAUAGAUGUGAUAACUUUGACCUGUUACCACCAUCUUUUCUUCGAAGUUUAAAGACAUGUACAUGGAAAGAGUCAGUGAAAGCUCCACCGUUAGAAAUUCCAAACACUGUAAUAGGUGUUCCUGCGUCAGUUCUAUCGUUUUGUGAAAUUCUAGACAUCUCAGCAGUGCUUUAUGUCUGUUACGCAGAUUCCUUACACAUUGACUCGCAGAGCAUUCAACCGCUUUUCAAUCUCUUCCAUACUAGUCCAGAACUUAGCUCACUACUUAAAACCGAUAAAAACCUUAAGAAUUAUCACUAUUCAUCAUCCAUUACUCAGUCGAACAUGUAUUUAUGAAAAGAGUAGAACGUGUGCAGAACACCCAAAGCAGCACCAGCCAGAACACCUGUAGCGCCAUAAACAUUGUUGAUCCAAGCUCUCACCGGAUCUUUGUAGAUUUGCCGCCAUGUGGCCACCCCCUUAAUCCGGCCCUGGCCACCGGACCACCUCCACCGUCUUCGUCGACGUUGCCGUCCACCACCAACCAGGAUCCCGCCGGUCAACAUCCGGGGUCAGCGCCGGGCCAUCCCUCCGUGAAGAUUGAGGACGAAGAAGUCAAUACCCCUGACCAACGAACAUCAGCGGUGCCGGAGGAUAAAUUCCGGAGGUGGACUCAGCAAGAAACAGAAGAGCUGAAGGAAGUGUUCCGAGAGUUCCUGGCUGACGACCGGAUGCCCAACCGGGCCGAGAUCCUUACGCGGAUAGGCCUAGACAUGUGUCCGCAAGGUAGAUCCCUUGCCUCCAUCCGCGACCAACUUUUCAGGAACCGAUAGGCCUCUUGCCUUGGCGCAUUUCUGCACUCCUUCUCAAACUUUUAUUUUUUUUUCAUAUUACCUCUUUAAUCUUAUUAUUCUAAUAACUAUUAAUAUGUACCAAAAUAGGAAGUGAGAACUAUCACAAGUAAAAUUCUUGUCAAAAUCCCACCUCGAGUUCCGCAUCGAGGAAUGGUGUUAAGUAUUUUUUUUUAAUAUUCUGUCAACUGUA